rnacentral:misc_RNA from 1 species
GAUGAAGAACGUAGCGAAAUGCGAUAAGUAAUGUGAAUUGCAGAAUUCAGUGAAUCAUCGAAUCUUUGAACGCACAUUGCGCCCGCCAGUAUUCUGGCGGGCAUGCCUGUUCGAGCGUCAUUUCAACCAUCAAGCCCCCGGCUUGUGUUGGGGACCUGCGGCUGCCGCAGGCCCUGAAAAGCAGUGGCGGGCUCGCUGUCACACCGAGCGUAGUAGAUUUCAUCUCGCUCAGGGCGUGCUGCGGGUUCCGGCCGUUAAACCACCUUCAUAACCCAAGGUUGACCUCGGAUCAGGUAGGAAGACCCGCUGAACUUAAGCAUAUCAAUAAGGGAGGA